CUUCACCGACCCCAGCAGCAGCGCGUCCCGGUCGUCGCGGUCCUGCCCGUACGUGGCGAGCAGCGCCUGGGCCUC
rfam:Micromonospora aurantiaca ATCC 27029, complete genome.